rnacentral:rRNA from 1 species
UGCGCAGGCGGCGGCUCAAGUCAGGUGUGAAAUCCCCGGGCUUAACCUGGGAAUUGCGCUUGAAACUAGGCCGCUUGAGUGUGGCAGAGGGGGUGGAAUUCCACGUGUAGCAGUGAAAUGCGUAGAGAUGUGGAGGAACACCGAUGGCGAAGGCAGCCCCCUGGGUCAACACUGACGCUCAGGCACGAAAGCUGGGGAGCAAACA